ACUUAUAUAAUAUAUUAAGUAUUCAUGAUUUCCAAUCAUGCUGAUUAAAAUUAUAAAUUUAAUAUAAGUA
rnacentral:tRNA from 1 species